AUCCUUUUUGGUUCAUAAGCAUGGUGACUAAGUGUCUGCACUGUCCUGAGAUGUGCCUCCCUUUAAACCUGUGACACUGGUACAGUACCUUUCUUACA
rfam:Ictidomys tridecemlineatus contig054999, whole genome shotgun sequence.